AUUGAACGCUGGCGGCAUGCCUUACACAUGCAAGUCGAACGGUAACAGGUCUUCGGAUGCUGACGAGUGGCGAACGGGUGAGUAAUACAUCGGAACGUGCCCGAGAGUGGGGGAUAACGAAGCGAAAGCUUUGCUAAUACCGCAUACCAUCUCAGGAUGAAAGCAGGGGACCGCAAGGCCUUGCGCUCACGGAGCGGCCGAUGGAAGAUUAGGUAGUUGGUGGGAUAAAAGCUUACCAAGCCGACGAUCUGCGGCUGGUCUGAGAGGACGACCAGCCACACUGGGACUGUGACACGGCCCAGACUCCUACGGGAGGCAGCAGUGGGGAAUUUUGGACAAUGGGCGCAAGCCUGAUCCAGCCAUGCCGCGUGCAGGAUGAAGGCCUUCGGGUUGUAAACUGCUUUUGUACGGAACGAAAAGACUCUGGUUAAUACCUGGGGUCCAUGACGGUACCGUAAGAAUAAGCACCGGCUAACUACGUGCCAGCCGCCGCCGUAAUAC
rnacentral:rRNA from 1 species